rnacentral:rRNA from 1 species
AUACAUAGGGGGCAAGCGUUAUCCGGAAUUAUUGGGCGUAAAGCGUGCGUAGGCGGUUUAUUAAGUCUGAUGUUAAAACCCACAGCUCAACUGUGGGGUGCCAUUGGAAACUGGUAGACUUGAGUGCGGUAGAGGUAAGUGGAAUUCCAAGUGGAGCGGUGGAAUGCGUAGAUAUUUGGAGGAACACCAGUGGCGACGGCGGCUUACUGGGCCGUUACUGACGCUGAGGAACGAAAGCGUGGGGAGCAAACAGGAUUAGAAACCCUGUUAGUCCACGCCGUAAACGAUGAGCACUAAGUGUCGGAUGAAUUUUCGGCGCUGCAGUUAACACAAUAAGUGCUCCGCCUGGGGAGUACGGUCGCAAGACUGAAACUUAAAGGAAUUGACGGGG